UGAUUUAUGUUUUGUUGAUCUUGUUCUGGUUUGAUUUUGAACAGCUUAGUGUUGCUCUGUAAUGGAUGCAUAACCAGUAGAUAUGUCAGGAUAUUAAAAGGAACCGUUAUUUUGCCUCGUGAUAGCGAUGUUCCUUCGAAUCUUCUGACAUAUCUACUGCUUAUGCCACCAUUACAGAACAGCAACAAGCUGUUCAGAACCAAACACAGAACAAGAACAGCGGAACAUAAAAUC